AGAAAGAAAGGGAGAGAGAAGAGAGAAGGAGAAAGAGGUGCACCUUUUCUGUCCCAGGUGCACAGGACCACCUCGUACUUUAGAAAGGGGCAACAUCAGAUACUAGAAUCUCUUGGUAUACUGGGUAACAAAGUAGCCAGGAGAUGGGGAGUGGAGGGGGAUGCUACUGGAAGUAGUGAGGAAGGACAUCGUGAGGACAGAGUUCUAGCUACAUAAAUUUCUUGUCAGAAGUAUCCUAAGCGAACACACCUACCCCUCCACACCACACAGCUUAACCUGACCUUCCCGGAACACACUCAGAACACUGACAUUAGCCUACAGUUGGGGGAAAUCGUCCAACACAAUGCUUAAUUUCUAAUGCAGCACUAGACACCUCCUGUGGCCGACUAGAAACUGAACCGCUGCCACUGACCAGCCAUUACACAUCCUGCUAAAAAUUCACAAUUCAAGUACAGUUUCUACUACAUGGGUAUCACAUUAUACCAUCUUUAAAAACCAUUAAGUCAAACAAAAAAAAUUGUAAAUCCUCAAGUACACAGGGGAGUUCUGAGCAGAAAGAGCAGCCCAUGAAAAACCCAGAAGCCAAGGUAAACCUGGGGUUUUGUAGGAAAGUAGCAGAGCCAGCAGGGCCCUGCACAGGGAGCAGAAAAUAGGAGACAAAGGGGCCAGGUGCUGGCAGGAAAUACAUCAGGGCUUUGUAAGGCCUUUGCCUUUUCCCUGGGUAGGAAUGGGGACUUUGCUGCAGAGUUCUAUGCAAAGGAAGAGCAUGAUACAACUUCAAUUUUUAGAAAUAAUCAUUCUGGCCACCAUGUGGGAACAUAUGCAAGAGGACCACUGGUUUAAAAAGAAAAUAGAGAGAACAAUGAGGAGACCCCAUGAUAACCCAUACUGGACACAACACUGAACUGGACCAAAAGGCAUGGGAAGUGGUCAAGUUCUGGAUCUGCUCUGAAGGUAAAGUCCACACUGGCAGAAUGACUGGGUGCAGGGUUGGCAAGAGGAGGGAAGGAGGAGUCAAAAGUUUUUAGGGAGGAUGGAGUAGCCAUGAACGAUGGGGAAACUGAGGAGGACCAGUGGGAGAGGUGGUGUUCUGUUUGUUUGGAGAGAACAAGAGCAAUUCUUUAAUAGUGAUGUGUUCUCCAUACCUCUUCUCUACUUCCAGUUCCCCAAAAAGAAGGGUUUCUCCCUCAACACUCCUGGCUUCAGUGUGCCACCCCACAUGCUGCUUCCUUCGGGAAGAGUGACCUCUCUUACACAUGCGUCUGCUCCUCUUCCCAGAAGUUUACAGGGGACACUGCCACUGCUGCCCCAACCACCACCACCCCACCACCAUCACCCCACCACUCAAGCAUAUUAUUGAGGAAACCAGCGUCCUGGGCGCCCAGGGCCGCUUGUGACUGGUAGAUGUAUCUACUGAAUCUCAAGUCAUCAGGAAGCUGAGGUUGCCCACACCUAAGCCACUUCCUCCACCAGCCUCUAUCAGUAAUAAUGAUGACAUUUUCAUCUCUACAUUCUUCACCACUGUGCCUCUCUCUUAAGCAGUUCAGAAAUCUGGGGGGGG